rnacentral:rRNA from 1 species
UACAGAGGUCCCAAGCGUUGUUCGGAUUCAUUGGGCGUAAAGGGUGCGUAGGCGGCGCGGGAAGUCGGGUGUGAAAUCUCGGAGCUUAACUCCGAAACUGCAUUCGAUACUGCCGUGCUUGAGGACUGGAGAGGAGACUGGAAUUUACGGUGUAGCGGUGAAAUGCGUAGAUAUUCGCAAGAACACCAGUGGCGAAGGCGGCUCACUGGCCCGGUACUGACGCUGAGGUGCGAAAGCGUGGGGAGCAAACAGG